UUUAUCUAUAACAAAACACGAAGCCCAUACUUUUUUUUCCUAUUUCCAAGUGCUCUGAUCUUUUCUUUAAUUAUACUAAGUUGAGUUUGAGAUUUUAUUUGUGGAAGAAACCCUAAUAUCACGAUCUCUGAGUUUCAACCCAAGAACAAAUCGAGUGUUCAAAUCUAAGACCAAAUCAGGAAUCAAUGGAUGAUCCACCGACAGAUAGGCCUCCACCUCUUAAGCGUAACUCAAAUGAUGUAGGAUGGCAGUAUGGAGUCUUGUGUGAUUCAAGAAGUCUAGACAAAGUUAAGUGUAAAUUGUGUGGAAAAGAGUUUUCUGGUGGUGUGUUUAAAAUGAAAGAACAGAGAUAAAUGAGGAACGUGAUGUUUUGUUUUCAAGUCAUGUUUUUGUUUUUGUUUGUUUUUGCUUUCAAAGUCAAGCUGACAUCGUUUUCUUUUUGUUUGCAGGUGUAAUGUAUAAGAUAUAACUUCUAACACAUCUCUCUACUACACAGUGAUAACUUGAUCUUUAAAGAUUAUAACUUACUUUUUGUAUAUUCUUAAGAUCAAGACAAUCUUUUUUUGGUGUAUCCCGUGUAUAGAAAUUAGCUUUUGUAUUUUGAACUAGAUGUGUAUUAGAAGAAAUUUCAAUAUAUUUUGGAGUAUAAGCUUUGUGUUAUAAAUUUAUAA